GACGAACGCUGGCGGCGUGCUUAACACAUGCAAGUCGAACGGAGUGGCGAACGGGUGAGUAACACGUGGGUGAUCUGCCUUGCACUUCGGGAUAAGCUUGGGAAACUGGGUCUAAUACCGGAUAGUGCAAGAUGAGCUCGCGGCCUAUCAGCUUGUUGGUGGGGUAAUGGCCUACCAAGGCGUCGACGGGUAGCCGGCCUGAGAGGGUGUACGGGCUUAUGGGGACUGAGAGACGGCCCAGACGCCUACGGGAGGAAGCAGUGGGGAAUAUUGCACAAUGGGCGGAGGCCUGAUGCAGCGGCGCCGCGGGGGGGAUGAAGGCCUUCGGGUUGUAAACUCCUUUCGACAGGGACGCGGUACCUGUAUAAGAAGCACCGGCUAACUACGUGCCAGCAGCCGCGGUAAUAC
rnacentral:rRNA from 1 species